rnacentral:rRNA from 1 species
AUUGAACGCUGGCGGCAGGCCUAACACAUGCAAGUCGAGCGGAGCGGCGGACGGGUGAGUAAUGCCUAGGAAUCUGCCUGGUAGUGGGGGAAAACGUCCGGAAACGGGCGCUAAUACAGAAUACUAUCCAAUGAGCCUAGGUCGGAGUAGCUAGUUGGGGGGGGAAGGCCUACCAAGGCGACGAUCCGUAACUGGUCUGAGAGGAUGAUCAGUCACACUGGAGAUGAGACACGGUCCAGACUCCUACGGGAGGAAGCAGUGGGGAAUAUUUGACAAUUGGCGAAAGCCUGAUCCAGACAUGCCGCGUGUGUGAAGAAGGUCUUCGGAUUGUAAAGCACUUUAAGUUGGGAGGCGUUACCAACAGAAUAAGCACCGGCUAACUCCGUGCCAGCAGCCGCGGUAAUAC